AUUGAACGCUGGCGGCAGGCCUAACACAUGCAAGUCGAACGGUAACAGGAAGCAGCUUGCUGCUUUGCUGACGAGUGGCGGACGGGUGAGUAAUGUCUGGGAAACUGCCUGAUGGAGGGGGAUAACUACUGGAAACGGUAGCUAAUACCGCAUAACGUCGCAAGACCAAAGAGGGGGACCUUCGGGGCUCUUGCCAUCGGAUGUGCCCAGAUGGGAUUAGCUAGUAGGUGGGGUAACGGCUCACCUAGGCGACGAUCCCUAUCUGGUCUGAGAGGAUGACCAGCCACACUGGAACUGAGACACGGUCCAGACUCCUACGGGAGGCAGCAGUGGGGAAUAUUGCACAAAGGGCGCAAGCCUGAUGCAGCCAUGCCGCGUGUAUGAAGAAGGCCUUCGGGUUGUAAAGUACUUUCAGCGGGGAGGAAGGGAGUAAAGUUAAUACCUUUGCUCAUUGACGUUACCCGCAGAAGAAGCACCGGCUAACUCCGUG
rnacentral:rRNA from 1 species